GCUAGCGGCAGGCCUAAUACAUGCAAGUCGAGGGGUAACGCGGUAGCAAUACUGGCGACGACCGGCGCACGGGUGCGUAACGCGUAUGCAAUUUGCCCAUAGCUAGGGGAUAGCCCGGAGAAAUCCGGAUUAAUACCCUAUAAUAAGUUGAGAAGGCAUCUUUUUAAUUUUAAAGAUUUAUCGGUUAUGGAUGAGCAUGCGUCUGAUUAGCUAGUUGGUAAGGUAAUGGCUUACCAAGGCUACGAUCAGUAGGGGGUCUGAGAGGAUGAUCCCCCACACUGGUACUGAGAUACGGACCAGACUCCUACGGGAGGCAGCAGUAGGGAAUAUUGGGCAAUGGACGAGAGUCUGACCCAGCCAUGCCGCGUGUAGGAAGAAGGCUUUCUGAGUUGUAAACUACUUUUGAUUGGGAACAAAAGAUCCUUGCGAGGAGCAUUGAGUGUACCAAUAGAAUAAGCACCGGCUAACUCCGUGCCAGCAGCCGCGGUAAUACGGAGGGUGCAAGCGUUGUCCGGAUUUAUUGGGUUUAAAGGGUGCGUAGGCGGCUAAUUAAGUCAGCGGUGAAAUUCCACAGCUCAACUGUGGAACUGCCAUUGAUACUGGUUGGCUUGAGUACAGAUGAGGUAGGCGGAAUUGACAGUGUAGCGGUGAAAUGCUUAGAUAUUGUCAAGAACACCUAUUGCGAAGGCAGCUUACUAAGCUGUAACUGACGCUGGGGCACGAAAGCGUGGGGAUCAAACAGGAUUAGAUACCCUGGUAGUCCACGCCGUAAACGAUGAUUACUCGAUGUGUGCGAUAGACAGUACGCGUCCAAGCGAAAGCGUUAAGUG
rnacentral:rRNA from 1 species